UAGUGCAGAGUUCUAUCAGACCUUCAAAU
rnacentral:piRNA from 1 species